UGGAACUUGGCUGCUUUGUCCAAGAUUUAUACUGGUGAAAGUCGGUGACGACGGAAGCAAUGUUCAAGUGUUAAUGCUCUUCUUCUCUUCGGCUACGAAUGGGGUAAUCCACUUUUUACAAAUCCGUCUCUGAGAGUCUUACUAAUUUUUGCAAUUGUUGAUGUAUAGCUGAACUUCAUAGUUAAGUUAUGAAGCACAGAUAGGGAUUAAGAAAACAUUUCAUCCAACUAAGCUAUUGUUGUUUUGGUAGUUAAUAAGGAAACAGAGACACUCUGCUGUUGAUCUCCCCUCUUCUUCCACGACGAAACAGAGGCACCCUGCUGUAGAUCGGAACUCUAUCGUUGUCGAAACACGGGUCCAUCAUGCACGUAUAUGGUCAAUAAAAGUUAGAUAAGGAACAUAAAUAUUGGUGGAAAUCGACAUCAGAAUUCUCCCGUCCUUGCCGAUUUUCUUUUCCUUCUGGCUGAUUUUCUCUUCCUCUGUUCUGUUUGCAGGUCAUAAUUUAACCCUGGUCAACAUAUCGUAUCAAAGUCAAUAUAUCCUGUAAUUACUGCGGUAUACCGCAUCACGAGUUGUAUCGUCAAACUAUCGUUUCGUCAAUUUAUCGCAUUUCGAUAUUGGUUUGAGAAUUCGAAACGUUUCGCGUUUUGAUCGUGUUAUUUUUUCCCUCGAGGAUUUCCGAUUUAACCGAGCCGUCUGCCGUUGCGUUUUGAUUUCGAUCCCGCGGAAUAGAAACGUUUCGUCGCAUCUCGAGACUCUUCAGCGUUUUUUUCUUUUCUAAAUCGUAUUUUCCAAAUUCCCUCCGCCGUCCGUAGUU
rnacentral:lncRNA from 1 species